UACGUAGGCAGCGAGCGUUGUUCGGAGUUACUGGGCGUAAAGGGUGCGUAGGCGGUUGUUUAAGUUUGGUGUGAAAUCUCCCGGCUCAACUGGGAGGGUGCGCCGAAUACUGAAUGACUAGAGUGCGGGAGAGGAGAGUGGAAUUCUGGUGUAGCGGUGAAAUGCGUAGAUAUCAGGAGGAACACCGGUGGUGUAGACGGCUCUCUGGACCGUAACUGACGCUGAGGCACGAAAGCGUGGGUAGCAAACAGG
rnacentral:rRNA from 1 species